AUGGCCACUCUUGCCCUGCCUGAUGGAACGGUCAGUCGAUGCUGUCCCUGAGGAGCCAUGCCCUGCCUUAGGUUUCCCAGACAGUCCUCUGAAAGGCUGGACAACCACUGCUUACAAAUAAAAGAGAACUUCUGGGAGGAAUCGCAAGAAACAAAUCAGUAAAGAGAAUGCAGUUGAUUGGAGAUAAGUCAGAUGUGUUUUUCACUUUAUCCUCUGGUGUAUAUGCCAAUGCAGACAAUGUCCCAUGACUGUAAUUGUCACUCAGCUGUCUGUCAGUGAUGAGAAGAAAAGGGUGACAGCCUUGACAUCCCACCAAUCAUUCCUCUGGAAAAUUGAUAUCGUCCUCCCCAGUAAACAACAGCUAAAUAAUCGACCAGCCUUGCCAGCACAUCCCUGAACAAUCAGCUUCCAUUAAGGGCAGAAGCCACACAUUUAUCCCACCGUACUCCAAUCAAUAGUACACUGACUUGUUCUAUGUUCAAGCAUGCCACUGCUCAAGGUCUGCAUUUAGCAAAGGCUACCUUUCAAGUCUUUCAAACUUAAAUGUACAGUGGAGCUUUUGGGGAUUGUUUCAUUACCACCCACAACUGGCUUGGAUCCGUGAGGGAACACACCUGCUCUCAUUAGGCCCACGUGAUGUCUGCCAAUAACAGUAUUUCCAUGAAGAUGAAUGUCCUGGAAACUAUCUUUAUCUCCCUGCUGAUGGACUUUACUGCCUCCUCCCUCUUUGGGGAGGUAAGGCAUAGGCAAUCUGCUGAUUACUUCUUGAGUUACUGAUCUGUUCUGAUGACUGUUUCAUAGUUACGGACUUCCAGUGUACUCACAGCGACUCUCUUCCAUUAGGUAGCCUAUGUAAUCUUCCUCUAAUGUUUAUUAUUUCUGACUGCAGAUUAAUUCCUUACACUAAGUAGUCUUCAAAAAGCUAACUGAACACUAAGCUAGAGGUAUUUGCAUACAGAACAAUUCUGUUCACUAUUGAGUUUUUCCAUAUUUAGCAUUAUGAAUCCAUAAUAUCAAAACAGAAACUAUUGUUACUGUUAUGUAUAGCAUAUAGAAUACGUGUUGAAUGUGCAUUAGUAACUGUAAAUAAACUCAGCACAAUGUUACUAAGUUUACUGACAUUAUGCACAUCCAAAUGUUCUGGUCAAACCAUACAUAACUUUACAGAGCAGCUACCAUACCUACUACUGAGGUAGUAGAUGGAUAGAAUUUAAAAUAUCUUGAUUUUCCUGUUCCAGUAGAAUUCAAAUAAAUAUUUCAUCAUAACA